rnacentral:rRNA from 1 species
UACGCAGGGGGCAAGCGUUAUCCGGAUUUACUGGGUGUAAAGGGAGCGUAGGUGGCAUGGUAAGCCAGAAGUGAAAACCCGGGGCUCAACCCCGCGGAUUGCUUUUGGAACUAUCAGGCUGGAGUGCUGGAGGGGUAAGCGGAAUUCCUAGUGUAGCGGUGAAAUGCGUAGAUAUUAGGAGGAACACCGGUGGCGAAGGCGGCUUACUGGACAGAAACUGACACUGAGGCUCGAAAGCGUGGGGAGCAAACAGG